rnacentral:rRNA from 1 species
UACGAAGGGGCGAGCGUUGUUCGGAUUUACUAGGCGUAAAGGCGCGCAGGCGGCUCAUUUGUCAGGCGUGAAGCCCGGCUUAACCUGGACUGCGUUGAUACGGAUGGCUAGAGUUCGGAGAGGAGAGUGGAAUUCCAGUGUAGAGGUGAAUCGUAGAUAUUGGAAGACACCGGUGCGAGCGCUCUCUGACGAUACUGACGCUGAGCGCGAGCGUGAGCAACAG